AUAUAAAUUGUCCGCGUUCUGCGGUGUUUUCAUGUCUGCGACGCGGACAAUUUAUAUGG
rnacentral:precursor_RNA from 1 species